GACGAACGCUGGCGGCGUGCUUAACACAUGCAAGUCGAGCGGUAAGGCCCUUUCGGGGGGUACACGAGCGGCGAACGGGUGAGUAACACGUGGGUGACCUGCCCUCAGCUCUGGGAUAAGCCCGGGAAACUGGGUCUAAUACCGGAUAUGACUUCAUGACGCAUGUUGUGGAGUGGAAAGCCUUGUGCGGCUGAGGAUGGGCCCGCGGCCUAUCAGCUUGUUGGUGGGGUGANGGCCUACCAAGGCGACGACGGGUAGCCGGCCUGAGAGGGCGACCGGCCACACUGGGACUGAGAUACGGCCCAGACUCCUACGGGAGGCAGCAGUGGGGAAUCUUGCGCAAUGGGCGAAAGCCUGACGCAGCGACG
rnacentral:rRNA from 1 species